rnacentral:rRNA from 1 species
AGAGAGAGACAUGCGCGCAUAUCAAUAAGCGGAGGAAAAGAAACUAACUAGGAUUCCCUCAGUAACGGCGAGUGAAGCGGGAAGAGCUCAAAUUUGAAAUCUUCAAGGUUCUACCUUGACGAAUUGUAGUUUAAAGAAGUGUUUUCUGUUGGAGUUUUGGUAAAAGUUCUUUGGAAUAGGACAUCAUAGAGGGUGAGAAUCCCGUAUUUGACCAUUAUUUCCAGCUUUGUGAUACACUUUCAAAGAGUCGGAUUGUUUGGGAAUGCAGUCCAAAAUGGGUGGUAAAUUUCAUCUAAAGCUAAAUAUUGGCGAGAGACCGAUAGCGAACAAGUACCGUGAGGGAAAGAUGAAAAGAACUUUGAAAAGAGAGUUAAACAGUACGUGAAAUUGUCAAAAGGGAAGCGUUUGACACCAGUGUUGUUUUCUCGAAAAUCAAUUAAAAAAGGCAGGAUUUUGUGUUGUAUUGACUUUAUCAGCUUUCUGCACUCUUUUCUUGUCUUUUUUAAUGCACUUUUCGUUUAACAAGUCAACAUCAAUUUCUUUUGUUGUAAAAGGGUCAUUGGAAGGUGGCUUUCUUUUCGGAGAAAGUGUUUAUAGCCUUUGGCCUCUGCAAUCCGGAGAGAUUGAGGUCUGCAGCGUAGAUCCUUCGGGGUUAGAUACAUUUGUGCUAAGUUAUAGCCUUUCAUAGACAACUUGUUGACUAUGAUCAGUCAUGUAGCUUACUCGCUUAUGCUAUUUUACCUACGCUUAGGAUGUUGAUGUGAUACUGCGAGCA